rnacentral:rRNA from 1 species
UAAUACGUAGGGGGCGAGCGUUGUCCGGAUUUAUUGGGCGUAAAGCGUCCGCAGGCGGUCAAGCAAGUUCGAGGUGACAGUGCGUGGCUUAACCGCGCAAGGUCCUUGAAAACUGCUCGACUUGAGGGCUUCAGAGGGACCCGGAAUUCCGGGUGGAGUGGUGAAAUGCGUAGAGAUCCGGAGGAACACCAAAGGCGCAGGCAGGGUCCUGGGAAGCCACUGACGCUCAGGGACGAAAGCUAGGGGAGCGAACGGGAUUAGAUACCCCGGUAGUCCUAGCCGUAAACGAUGACCACUAGAUGUGGGAGGUAUCGACCCCUUCCGUGUCGCCGCAAACGCACUAAGUGGUCCGCCUGGGGAGUACGGUCGCAAGAUUA